ensembl:lncRNA
AUGUCUCGCAUCACGCUGGGGGUUUGUGAUUGGUUGUUUACCAUUUCCUCCAAUAUUAGUCUAGCUAAUACAAGCCAAAGAGCAAAGUACAAUCUAUAUUUGACAAAACCAGCACCUAUGGACAAACCAGAGAACACCAGUCAAGAGAUGUCCGAAGUGGAGAGAUUAAAGUUCCUUAAAAAGUGCUGCAUGGAGACUCUCAGUCUCAUCGAGGUACAGAGGACCAGAGGGAGAACCAGGAAGAGUAGGAUGGUCGUCAAACAAUCCCUGGAAGAAGUGGAACUGAAAGAUGAUGUCAAACCAGAAACUGCUAAACUGAACCAUACAGACACGCUACUACAAAAUCAUACAAAAAGGAUGGCCUCCUUCUCAGUGCUAACUGUUACACAAUCUCUCAGUUCUGCAAAGGACUCUAAGGAGCCUGGAGACAGUUCCACAGACAAAUCAAAGACAACUGAGAAGCAGUUUCCACAAAAUAAUUUGACUGAAAGACAUAAAUACCAAACAGACAGAAAAACACAUAAGAAAACUAUAACAGAAGUUAAGAAGCAUCGCAUUAAGACUGACACAAAGGCUCAGAGGUCUGGAUCUGAAUGCGGGGAGCUUGGACAAUGUGGAAUCUCAGACUCCUCAAAGCCUCCUCAUUUAGGAGGGCCGCUGAAGGGCGAGAGGAUACCCAUACAACGUACAGAUGAGGCCGUGUGGGCAGCAGGUGCUUUGGGAUUCCUCUUAGUGCUCCUCACCCUGUCUGUGCUCCAUACACGCCUCUAUCGCCACUGGAGAUCUUCAACCAGUCUCUACUGGCACGACAACCAGCAAGACUAUGAGAGUGUGGGUGACAUCAUCCGGCGGAGGCUUAGGAUGGUUGGCCGGAGGAAGCGGAGGAGUAGCCAGAAAAGGAGACAGGAAUGUCCACUGCUGUCUAACUCCAGCAAUGAGGAGAACUCUGACUAA